GAUGCCGUAGCACUCCUCCUGACUGCUGGAAAGAUGGCGGCAGCGCACACUCGGGCGAGCCCCAAUUCUGCAGGCGGAAAAAAAUCUUAACAGAAAGACACCUUUCGCCCAGGUUUUGCAAAAAGAAAACGUGCAAACAACUAUUAAACUUGCAUGGUCAUGGGUGGUCCCAUGCACCACUAGAACCGAGCAUUCCUCGACCUGCUAUGGAGCCUCCGGAUAAUAGCGAACCUAGCAGGCAGGUCAAUUCCUCAAAAGAUGAUUCGGUGCAUCAGAGCUGCGAGGUGGAAGACUUUUGGUACGAGCCCAGCGAGGAAGAGGAAGCUCUGUACGGCACAUCACCCCCCUACACCCCCCGGCAGAUGAAACGUAUGUCGGGGAAACACCAGAAGAACAGCCAGGCGAGGUCAGCUGGACGCUCCCCCGUCGGACACUCUCCUAACAAGAUAGACAAUCAGCCAGCCCCCUCCAGUCCAUCCCAGCCCCAGAGAGAGAGUGAGCCUAACCCCUAUAGGCCUAGAGAGGGGGCUGAGCGAGACCGAGAGAAGGACCCCCCAGAGGCUGAGCAACAUAACUACAAGUUGGGUAAGAAACAGACCGACCCUUCUGAGGGGAUCCAAAUAAACGUAAACAAGCAAGUCAACAAAGCAACCGAGGAGCACCAACACAACUAUAAGCAGGGUCAAAAACAACGCGCCACCCUGCGUUCCAGUGAGAGAGACCACAAGAAGACCUUUGAAGGUUCCUUCAUGCUGGACCCGCUCUCCAAGACCUCCAGCCCCUUCGGUGGAGGCUCAGCCCUCAACAUGGACCCCAGGAAACCCUACCUAUCGCUGGGGUGCGGCAGCGGCAAGCUCCCUGUCACUAUCCCCCACCCCAUGGCCCACCGCACCCACCGCCAGACCUCAAGGACAGACUGCCCUGCAGAUAGACUCAAGUUCUUUGAGACGCUGAGGUUGUUAUUGAAGCUGACUUCCAUGUCGUCCAAGAAGAAGGAGAAGGAGCAGCGCGGUCUGGAGAACUCAGCCUUCAUGGGCCAGAACAACGAGGUGGUGUGGCUGGAGCUCCAGGCGUGGCACGCGAGACGCUCCGUCAACGACCAGGAUCUGUUCCUGUUCACUGCUCGACAAGCAAUCCCAGACAUCAUCAACAAGGUGCUCCACUUUAAGGUCAACUACCACAGCCUGAGCCCCAGCACCAUGGGCCUGGGACAACUGACCCUGGGGGUGUGUGUAGGACGACCAGGUAUGGUUGGAUCAGGGGCAUCUCCCGGCCAGGGAGCCCAGAGGACACUAGUGUUAACAGAGCCAGGCUGUGGAGGCCCAGGCCAGGGUCCCAAACAGAGGACUCCAACCCAGGCCUCAGAGACUGUUUCUGGGGAGGAGAGGGACUCUAACCAGCCUGCUGCUGUUGGAGCUUCAGAGACGAACCAAAAUCACUUUGCUUCAGUCGACCCAUGGGGCUUCAGCGCCUGCCCCUCCUCGGCAGUAGACGCAGCGGCGCCCCUGGGCUCCGGGGCGGGGUGCAGGGAGCACCUCCAGCGCCAGCGGCUGGCCUUCGAGCAGGUUAAACGGGUGAUGGAGCUGCUGGAGUCGGUGGAGGCUUUGUACCCUUCCCUGCAGACCCUCCAGAAGGACUAUGAAAAGUACGCAGCCAGGGACUUCCAGGGCAGGGUGCAGGCACUCUGUCUCUGGCUCAACAUCACACAGGAUCUGAACCAGAAACUUCGUGUUAUGGCGACUGUCCUCGGCCUCAGGGACCUUUCCCGUAUCGGCUGGCCCGUCUUCGAGAUCCCCUCGCCACGCUGUUCCCGUGGUAACGACGAGGAAGACGAGGAUGAAGAAGACGAGGAGAAUGACUCCACGGCAACCUUCACUGCCGGUGACAGCGACGGAGAGGACAGGGACCUAGCGGGUGAGGAGGGGGAAACUGGUGAGCCCAGAGGGGGUGAAACGACAGCUGAGCCGGGAGAAGGUGAACUCUCCCCUUGUUUGACUCCUAAAUUCGCUCGGUUACUACUAUCUGAGGAUGAGACGGGGACUAUGGAGGUGGUAUCGGGGGGCACAGGGACAGGAGGGAUGAACUGCCCUACAGCCAUCUUCAGACCCUUCGUAGAUAAGGCCUUGAAACAGAUGGGGCUGAGGAAACUGAUCCUGAGACUACACAAGCUGAUGGACCCCUCCCUCCAGAGGUCCCGGGCAGCCCUGCUCAGCCACACGCCUGCACAGGAGUUCACGGACUUCCCAGACCCCAUGCUGUACAGUGACUACCUACCGGAGUUGUCCCGCCACCUGUCCUCCUGUGGCGCUCCCGGGGGCCCGGAGCUGGGGGCAGAGCACGUUUCCUGGGAGGAGCUGUUGGACAUGGACCUGCCCUCGUUCCGACCUGCCUUCCUGGUCCUAUGCCGCGUCCUGCUGAACGUGAUACACGAGUGCCUUAAGCUGAGACUGGAACAGAGGCCUGCAGGGGAGCCUUCACUGCUCAGCAUCAAACAGUUGGUGCGUGAAUGUAAGGAGGUGUUGAAAGGUGGUCUCCUGAUGAAACAGUAUUACCAGUACAUGCUGAGGGGGGUGGUCACAGACCCCCAGGGACUCCAGACCAAUGCCAACAUAGACGAAUUUGAGGAGGACCUCCACAAAAUGCUGGUGGUGUACUUUGACUACAUGCACAGCUGGAUCCAGAUGCUGCAGCAGCUUCCCCAGGCCUCACACAGCCUGAAGAACCUUCUAGAGGAGGAGUGGAACUUCACCAAAGUCAUCACUCCCUACAUUAGAGGAGGGGAGGCUCAGUCUGGGAAACUCUUCUGUGACAUUGCUGGGAUGCUGCUCAAGUCCACAGGGGACUUCCUGGACACGGGCCUGCAGAAGAGUGGUGAUGAAUUCUGGGAAAGUGCCGACGACAGUACAGUCUCAGAUGAGAUCCGCCGGUCGGUAAUCGAGACGAGCCGGUCACUUAAGGAGCUGUUCCACGAGGCUAGAGAGAGGGCAUCCAAAGCUCUGGGAUUUGCCAAAAUGCUCCGUAAGGACCUGGAGAUUGCUGCUGAUUUCAGCAUUACCAGUGGGGUGCCAUGCCUCCUGGAGGCCCUCAAGGAGAGAAAUUAUGUCAAGGUCCAGAUCCCAGGGCUGGAGGAGCUGGAGGUGUUUGUCCCAUGUGCCCUGAUGCACCAGCGUGACCUCAUCCUGCAGCUUCUAAACGCAGCAGCCGGUAAGGAUUGCAGUAAGGAGCCCGACGAGAUGAUGGCAGAGGACGAGGCCUACCUGCUGAUGAGCAAGCAUGGAGCAGGGGACCCGCCUGGGGGGGCAGGCCAGGCCGGGGUUCAGUGGCACUGGGAUGGGAAGCUGGUCAAACUGGUGCCUCAGAUGGAGACUGUGGACACGCUACGGGCCAUGAAGGUGGAGAACCUGCUCCUGAUAGUGAUGCAGUCAGCCCACCUUGUGGCCCAGCGUAAGGCCUUCCAGCAAAGUAUGGAUGAGCUGCUCACCCUAAGCAGGGAGCAAACCUCCAGCCAGCCCCUCAUCGCCCGCUCCCUGGAGCAACUCAAGAAUGAAGCCUUACAGCUCUGUAGAAAGAUCAACACGGCCAUUGACCGGGUGGAGUACAUGUUCACGUCAGAGUUUGAGGCCGAAGUGGAGGAGUCUGAGUCAGCCACGCUGCAGCAGUACUACAGAGAGGCCAUGAUCCAGGGAUACAACUUCGCCUUCGAGUACCACAAGGAGGUGGUGCGUCUGAUGUCGGGUGAGUUCCGUCAGCGGAUUGGGGAAUGCUAUAUCGCCUUCGCCAGGAAGUGGAUGAACUAUGUCCUCACCAAGUGUGAAAGUGGCCGGGGUACCAGACCCCGCUGGGCCACUCAAGGCUUUGAUUUCCUCCAAGCCAUCGAACCUGCCUUCAUCUCUGCUUUACCAGAGGACGACUUCCUGAAUUUGCAAGCUCUGAUGAAUGAGUGCAUUGGUCAUGUGAUCGGGAAGCCUCACAGCCCAGUCAGUGGCUUGUACCUAGCCCCCAGGAACAGUCCUCGGCCAGUGAAGGUCCCUCGUUGCCAUAGCGACCCCCCCAACCCCCACCUGUUCAUCCCCAAUGCAGAGGGCUUCAGCUCUAGGAGUCUCCCCUGCGACCUACGGACCCAGCUGUGUCUACCUACCGGCCCCCGCCCAGUCCCCGCCCCUCAGACCCCAGGCCCCGCCCCCGGGGAACACAGCCCAUCCAAAGCACCUGGGUCCACCCCCAAUGACGUCAGAGGGGCCAACCUCCACGAGAACGACAGGCUGUCGUCUGUAGCAGCCGAGCUGCAGUUCAAGUCUCUGAGCCGACACUCCAGUCCCACUGAUGACAGGGAAGAACCCUCCUAUCCUAAGGGAGGAGACCCCAGCAGCACGGCCAGGAGAAGCUGGGAGCUCCGCACUUUCAUCAGCCAAUCAAAAGACACGGCAGCCAGACAGAGCCCCAUGGAAGCUGUACGUCGCUCCAUACGCUCCUUCGAGGACAAACGCUACGCAGUCAUGAAGCAGAGGAACAUCAUUGGCCAGGUGUGCCACACCCCCAAGUCCUACGACAACGUCAUGCACGUCGGCCUCCGCAAGGUCACCUUCAAGUGGCAGAGGGGCAACAAGAUAGGUGAGGGCCAGUAUGGCAAGGUGUACACCUGCAUCAAUGUGGACACUGGAGAACUCAUGGCUAUGAAGGAGAUCCGGUUCCAGCCGAAUGACCAUAAGACGAUAAAGGAGACAGCAGAUGAGUUGAAGAUCUUUGAGGGCAUCAAACACCCCAACCUGGUCCGCUACUUUGGUGUUGAGCUGCAUCGGGUAAGAGCAGGGUUGAAAUUAACACGCUCCAAAUGCGGGUAGAUUUUCUGUUUGGCGAGUAAAUCUCAGAAGGCUAUCCGCCACACUGGCGGGUAAAUGUUUGUACCAAAAUAGUCAUGUAAUAAAAUAUCUGGCAUGAUGUCUCAGGAAAUGACUCAUGUUUGCCAGUCACAGACCAUCUCUAGUGCUCCUAGUUUCGCGGCGCUGUUCACCGUACAGGACAUCAGCUACUCGACAUCGCUCACUUGCCAUGGGUCUGCUGCUUGCUACCGUUCAUUAAAUAGCUGUUGUGGCGACAUUUACCUGGAGUAAGCCAACCUUUGAAACGAAAACACACAGACUAAAAGGAGGACAAAUCACAUAAAAAAAUAAAGUUUGAUGAGUAAUGGAGGUUUGGAGAUAAAGGAGUUUCAAGAGGCUGGCUACAGUAUGAUGCUGAGGCUGUGGUGAUGAGUUGUUCUGUGUGUCACCAGUAUGCUAAAGAUAAAAGCAGAAACAACUCAUUUGUCAUCAGAAAUAAAACAAUGAAGCUGGAGAACAUUCAUGUCCAUGAACGCAGCAAGUGUCAUGUCCAUGAACGCAGCAAGUGUCAUGUCCAUGAACGCAGCAAGUGUCAUGUCCAUGAACGCAGCAAGUGUCAUGUCCAUGAACGCAGCAAGUGUCAUGUCCAUGAACGCAGCAAGUGUCAUGUCCAUGAACGCAGCAAGUGUCAUGUCCAUGAACGCAGCAAGUGUCAUGUCCAUGAACGCAGCAAGUGUCAUGUCCAUGAACGCAGCAAGUGUCAUGUCCAUGAACGCAGCAAGUGUCAUGUCCAUGAACGCAGCAAGUGUCAUGUCCAUGAACGCAGCAAGUGUCAUGUCCAUGAACGCAGCAAGUGUCAUGUCCAUGAACGCAGCAAGUGUCAUGUCCAUGAACGCAGCAAGUGUCAUGUCCAUGAACGCAGCAAGUGUCAUGUCCAUGAACGCAGCAAGUGUCAUGUCCAUGAACGCAGCAAGUGUCAUGUCCAUGAACGCAGCAAGUGUCAUGUCCAUGAACGCAGCAAGUGUCACAUUGCCUAUGUGUCUGUGUCCCGGACUCAAUCGUGUCCCGGAGCCUCUCCUCCUGACACCCUCUGUGACGGCGCUCAUGGCAAUGUCAGAGCAGACCAGCACGAAGUUGAAGAUACUGUUUAGGACUGUACAUGCCAUUGGCAAGAAGACGAGACCACUUUCUGACUUCAAGUGGAUGUGUGAUUUGGAUGAAAAAACAAGGAAUCGCUGUGGACUCAACAUAUAGAAAUGAGAAGCAGGCCAAAGAGUUUAUGCACCAUAUUGCAGAGGUGGAGAGAAACAGCAUCAGAGAGAAUAUGAAAAACACUACAUUUCUCUCCGUCAUGUCAGAUGGCUCCACAGACAGUUCUGUGAAAGAGGAGUUAGUUUAUGUCAGAUUCUGUCAUAAGGGCAAGAUCGAGUCAAAGUUUGUUGGCAUCAAGUCGGUGAAGAAGGCAGUAAGCAACGCCGUCAGUGCCAUCAUGGAGGGAGUGUGUGAUGAGUGGGGGAGCAAGUUAUUCGCUCUGGGAACAGAUGGAGCUGCUGUGAUGACCGGAGCCAAGAAUGGUGUGGUCAGCCGACUGAAGGGGGACAGGGCCUACAUCAUCGGAAUCCACUGUAUGGCACACCGCCUUCAACUGACCUUUUCUGAUGCCAUCCGGUCCAACGUGAUGUUUCAGAAAGUAGAAGACCUCAGUGGGCUCUACACCAGUCCACUGAACAGUGAAAACCUGGUAAACAGCUUCCAGGCUCUUGGGCACACACCACUGGUGCCCACCAGAAUUGGCGGGACCCGAUGGGUAGGACACCUAUUGCGUGCACUGGACCAUGUCCUGCGAGGUUACCAGGGGCGUGUCCAGCACCUGAAACAGAUUCAAUCUGCUGAUGCCCAAAAUGUCUGAGGUGUCCAGCAGGCCAAGGCCAGGAAAUACUACAGUACUGCGAGGGAGGCUGUUAUCCGCUUCUGUGGCUUCCUGCAUGACACACUAACACAUCUGAGCAGCCUGUCUGCAGAGGUCCACCAUCACCAUAGCAGAAGCCCACAGCUCCUUGUGCUCAACACAGGCAUUACUUAAGAAGUACAAAACCAGAUUUUGGUGACACUGAACUGGAAACCCUGGUGGACCACUUCAAGCCUGUCCUGGAGACCUCUGGCAUCCAUGUUGAAAGGAUCCCUGACCAGUGGACUGUCCUGAAGGUGCUGAUGUACCAAGAGCCCCAGUCCCCUGCAGAAGAUGUCCUGGUUCUGUGUCAACAGCAGCCAUCAGCAGUCCUGCCCUGAUGUGCUGGCAUUGGUUGACCUGGUCCUGUCCUUCCCUGCCUCCACAGCUGAAUGUGAAAGAGUUUUUAAUACCAUGAAACAGAUGAAAACCGAUUGGCGGUCUAACCUAAAGUCUGAUACACUGUCAGAUCUCUUUAUGUUCCAGCUGUCCUCUCCAGAGAUCAGGGAGUAUGAUCCGAUAAAAGCUGUGAUGCUGUGGCACCAGGACUCUGUCAGGAGUAGGAGGACUUCAUAGACCGUGCAAAGAGGGUGAUUGCAGUAGAGAGUGAGGAGUCUGAGGAGGUUUAAGUUUAUUAAAAUGAUUAAGCAUCUGAUAGGUUUACAAAACCUUCAAAUGUACUGUUAUGUUUGAUCCUUAAGUACUUUUAAUAGCAAAUACUAAAGUAGAAUUUUGAAUUCAAGACUUGUUGUAUUCAGGCUGGGAAAUUAAAUCUAGCCACAGUCAAAAUUAACCAGCGUCUGAUAAGUCUCUAUUUUACCUGUAUUUUAUCAGGGUAUUUCUACUCAAAGUAAAGGAUUUGUAGACCUGUUUCCCCUUUGUAUCAGUUCUACUGCACUUCUCAUAAUUGUAUCUUACCAUUGUUGUUGCCCUGUUUUGACUUCAACAUACUCUUAUUCAUUGUAUCUGAUAUGUUUGGUUUAUUUCAUUGGGUGCCCACUGUUUGGUGUUUUUUCACUCUGUACUGCACUUUUGGUCAACUACAGUUGUUUUUAAACGUGCUCUACAAAUAAACUGAUCAAUAUAUUAAAA